GCACGGACCAAGGAGUCUAGCAUGUGUGCGAGUCAUUGAGAUUUUUAAACUGAAAGGCACAACGAAAGUGAAGGCGCGCGCUUGCCGCGCGCUCAGGGAGGAUGGAGCGUCGGUCUAGGUCGACCUCUCGCACUCCCGAGGCGUCUCGUUUCCAAUCCGUGAAUGUAGGCGCGCUCCGAGCGCAGAUGCUGGGACCCGAAAGAUGGUGAACUAUGCCUGGUCAGGUCGAAGUCAGGGGAAACCCUGAUGGAGGACCGUAGCGAUUCUGACGUGCAAAUCGAUCGUCGGAACUGGGUAUAGGGGCGAAAGACUAAUCGAACCAUCUAGUAGCUGGUUCCGUCCGAAGUUUCCCUCAGGAUAGCUGGCGUCGAUUUGAACAGUCUCAUCCGGUAAAGCGAAUGAUUAGAGGCAUUGGGGCCGAAACGACCUCAACCUAUUCUCAAACUUUAAAUGGGUGAGAACUCCGGCUUACUCGAACGAUGAAGCCGGAGAUCUGAUGACGGUGCCAAGUGGGCCAAUUUUGGUAAGCAGAACUGGCGCUGUGGGAUGAACCAAACGUAGUGUUAAGGCGCCUAAAAAACGCUCAUGGGACACCAUGAAAGGCGUUGGUCGCUCAUGACAGCAGGACGGUGGCCAUGGAAGUCGGAAUCCGCUAAGGAGUGUGCAACGACUCACCUGCCGAAGCAACCAGCCCUGAAAAUGGAUGGCGCUGAAGCGUUUUGCCUAUACACUACCGUUACGGCCAUGUGGGACGUGUGUUCAUGUCAUUAAGGCGUAACGAGUAGGACGUGCGCGGCGGAGAGCGCAGAAGGGUCUGGGCGUGAGCCCGCUUGGAGCCUCCGUCGGUGCAGAUCUUGGUGGUAGUAGCAAAUACUCCAGCGAGGCCCUGGAGGACUGACGUGGAGAAGGGUUUCGCGUGAACAGUAGUUGCUCGCGAGUCAGUCGAUCCUAAGCUCAAGGAGAAAUCUUAUGUCGAUGUGGCGUGUUUUUAUGUUUUAAUAUAUAUAAAUAACGCCCUUUGAGCGAAAGGGAAUCAGGUUCCUAUUCCUGAACCCGGCAGCGGAACCGUUUCAAUAAUCGUUCCCUCGUUUCAAAGCGAGUGUUCGACGGGGUAACCCAAAGUGGCCUGAAGACGCCGCCGAGAGGUCCGGGAAGAGUUUUCUUUUCUGCCUGAGCGUUCGAGUUCCAUGGAAUCCUAUAGAAGGGAGAUAUGGUUCGGAACGCGAAGAGCACCGCAUUUGCGGCGGUGUCCGGAUACUCUCUGCGGACCUUGAAAAUUCAGGUGAGGGAUGUACGCGGAGUAGUCGCGCCGGUUCGUACCCAUAUCCGCAGCAGGUCUCCAAGGUGAAAAGCCUCUAGUCG
rnacentral:rRNA from 1 species